AAAAAAAACCGGGGGAUAUAAAAAAACGGAGAAAUCCUUUCUUUUAUAAACGGAUCUCUUGGUUCUGGCAUCGAUGAAGAACGCAGCGAAAUGCGAUAAGUAAUGUGAAUUGCAGAAUUCAGUGAAUCAUCGAAUCUUUGAACGCACAUUGCGCCCGCCAGUAUUCUGGCGGGCAUGCCUGUUCGAGCGUCAUUACAUCCCUCAAGCCCCCGGGCUUGGUGUUGGGGAUCGGCGAGCCUCAGCGCCCGCCGUCCCCUAAAUUUAGUGGCGGUCACGCUGUAACUUCCUCUGCUUAGUAGCACACUUAGCACUGGGAAACAGCGCGGCCACGCCGUAAAACCCCCCAACUUUUGAACGUUUGACCUCGAAUCAGGUAGGACUACCCGCUGAACUUAAGCAUAUCA
rnacentral:rRNA from 1 species